rnacentral:rRNA from 1 species
AGUGAACGCUGGCGGUAGGCCUAACACAUGCAAGUCGAACGGCAGCACAGUAAGAGCUUGCUCUUACGGGUGGCGAGUGGCGGACGGGUGAGGAAUACAUCGGAAUCUACUUUUUCGUGGGGGAUAACGUAGGGAAACUUACGCUAAUACCGCAUACGACCUACGGGUGAAAGCAGGGGAUCUUCGGACCUUGCGCGAUUGAAUGAGCCGAUGUCGGAUUAGCUAGUUGGCGGGGUAAAGGCCCACCAAGGCGACGAUCCGUAGCUGGUCUGAGAGGAGGAUCAGCCACACUGGAACUGAGACACGGACCAGACUCCUACGGGAGGCAGCAGUGGGGAAUAUUGGACAAUGGGCGCAAGCCUUAUCCAGCCAUACCGCGUGGGUGAAGAAGGCCUUCGGGUUGUAAAGCCCUUUUGUUGGGAAAGAAAAGCAGCAGGUUAAUACCCCGCUGUUCUGACGGUACCCAAAGAAUAAGCACCGGCUAACUUCGUG